UUGAACUGGUCUCUGUUAAGAGCCGUGUAGCCUAAAAAACAGUUCGACUGUACUGUGGUAUAGCCCUCUCUUGAUUCCAAAAAAAAAAAAUGUUGUUUCUGACUUUUCAUAGUGCAGUUUUCAGGAUCAAUCUUGAUUUCUUUUUAAUAGGAAUAAUUUUCUCUGUUACUACUUGCUCUCGUAAAUGAAUGUUCUUCAUUCCUCUCCUUAUUAUGAUUAGUGACUGGUCUCCUUGUUAUUUGUGUCAAGACAAAAAAAAGUUUAGUUGAUCCUUUAGGGCAUCCACAGUCUAUAGAGACAAUUUUGCCUCUAAGCUGGAACCUACACAGUGCCUCUAUUCUUAUCACCGAAUGCUGCAAUGUUAGCUCUCUUUUCACCUCUAAGCUGGAUCCCGUCAUGUAAUUAAAAACUAUUUUCACCGUCAAGUACUAGUCCUCCAACCCCACAUUUCCAACUCCCAAUUCUCUUUUUAUUUGUUAUCGAUUGUCUCCAGAUGAAGCGGCACUUCAUAAAUUCUUUGCUCGGAGGCACCCUCUUGCAGUGCUUGGAGGCAGCCUCUAAAGCUUAGAGGUGUUUAUAGAGGUGGUUAUUUUAAAGACUGUGGAUGCUCUUAUACUGUAUUUUUGCACACUA
rnacentral:lncRNA from 1 species